AUUGAAGCAUAUAUUGUAAUAUAAGAUUUGAUUCAUUUUAUUAACUGAAAAUAAAUGAUUUAAAACGACAAAUCAUGGUGAUGAAUACUAAUUGAUCCCCUUAAAAGAAAUGUUAAUGUGUAGUAUAUUGUAGUUUAGAUUUGGGAAGACUUAAAUGAUUUUUGUGACUUUUUAUUUUAGUUUCCUAAAAUUUAGUAACAUAAUCGAUUUUUAUAUUUAGAUUUAAAAAUAAGUUUGUUAAAACAUUAAAUGUCAGCGGCAUGACAUUGUAUAUAAGUUUCAAGUAGAGGAUUUAUUUGCUAAAAUGACUGCAAAAAUGUAUAUGUAGAUAUCGCAUUGCGGUACUUUCAAAAUACAAACCGGCGCUCAAAAAUAAAAGGGAGAUUUGCAAAACUACCCUUUUUUUUACUACCAUUUUGCAAUAAUAUCCUUUUAUGUUGUUCAUUUUUCAAAAUACCCCUUUCUUUGAACAAAAUGACCAAAUUACCCUCAUCUAAUAAGAACAUAUAAUUGGAAACUGAAAUUUUUCCGCCAAAAGUUUUCCGCAAAAUUUAUUUUUCUCGUA
rnacentral:sRNA from 1 species